AGCGAACGCUGGCGGCAGGCCUAACACAUGCAAGUCGAACGAACUCUUCGGAGUUAGUGGCGGACGGGUGAGUAACACGUGGGAACGUGCCUUUUGGUUCGGAAUAACUCAGGGAAACUUGUGCUAAUACCGAAUGUGCCCUUCGGGGGAAAGAUUUAUCGCCAUUAGAGCGGCCCGCGUCUGAUUAGCUAGUUGGUGAGGUAACGGCUCACCAAAGCGACGAUCAGUAGCUGGUCUGAGAGGAUGACCAGCCACACUGGGACUGAGACACGGCCCAGACUCCUACGGGAGGCAGCAGUGGGGAAUCUUGCGCAAUGGGCGAAAGCCUGACGCAACCAUGCCGCGUGAAUGAUGAAGGUCUUAGGAUUGUAAAAUUCUUUCACCGGGGACGAUAAUGACGGUACCCGGAGAAGAAGCCCCGGCUAACUUCGUG
rnacentral:rRNA from 1 species